rnacentral:lncRNA from 1 species
UCAAGUUGAAGGGCAUUGGCCACAGCAGAACAGUUCCCCACGGCUGAUGGGCACUCACAGGCAGGCAGGAGGGAGCGGUUCCGCACGACUUCCCAGCCCUCUCUGUGCCCAUUUUACAUCUGAGGCUGGCAGACCAGAAGGGCCACGGGAUUUUGAGGCCCCAGCCUGAGGCCGGGAGGAGGGAGCUGGGGCAAACAGAGAGCCCAAAGGCGGGUCCAACUUUGAAGAGUCAAUUUCCUUUGAACCCCAAGUUGGCAGGGUGGUGGGGGCUGGGCCUCUCAGUAAAUGGUCCAGAGCUUCCCCUGGCAGAUCAACUGUUUCUUAGGGACUUAAAGAAGAAUUGGGGUACUGGGACUCCCACUUAGUGACCCCGGGGCCUGAGGUGGCCCACGGAGGAGUGCCCAAGCCCCCAGCAGCCAGACCAGCUCCA